rnacentral:lncRNA from 1 species
CUGUCCAUCUACUCAUAUGAGAUAGCAACAAAAGCUUGAGCAAGGCUGAGGAGCCCAGCACAAACCUAACCAGAGCAGCACCCCACAGGAGCUGAACCAAGUACAAAUAACAAAAUUCAUCACCUACCUCAGACACAGCAAGAAGAUGAACCAAGCACAGGAGCCAGCUGGCUAGGAGAUGAAAUGGCAGGCUAAGCACUGAAGACAGGCACAAGGCACAGCUAGAGACCAAUGCUCCUGCAACACAACUACAAUCACCACACAGACAAUUUGCAUUUUAAAAGACUUCUGCUUUCAUGUGGCUCAGCAUCAAGAUACAAAUUCUCCAUUGAACAAUCUGCAACCUAAUCUAGCAGUGACUCCUCAAGCAAGACUCCUGCCAAAUCCAACAGUUCUGCAGGAACAGGGAUUGCCACAGCUGGCCCACCAUCACUAUCCUGCUACCUGAAAGACAAGUGCCAGCCCAGGUGACAAACUGCCCAAAAGGCUCUUUUGACAGCAGCAGUGCUUGGGCCUCUGGCAGCUGUCAGCCCCAGCAGCAGCAACACAGAGCUCAGGGAAUGUUCUGUACCAGAUGCAGCCUGGCCUGCGAGCAGUUGUCUGAGUGGCCAUUUUCCUUGGGACCUGUAGAGAGGCAUUUGCUCACCAGCAGCAGAGGGGACUCAGAAAUGCACCCUUGCCCAGAAUUAUUAAUCUGUACACCACUUGUUUUUGGAGCAGAGUUAUUUCUGUGACCAAAUAAGUUACUAUGGGAUGGAAGCAAUCUUUGCAUUGUAUUUCGUAGGAAUUCUGUACCCUGGUAAUAAAAUCACCUUUGUUCAGUUGGCUCAUCUUUCACCUGUGUUUUUGGUUAUGAAAAAAUAAUUUUUUUCUGGACCAAGAAUUUUGAACUCUACUGGUUUACACUGCAGUAUAGAAAACUUUUUGGAUUGACUCCAAUUUUCAUUCAACUAACUUAUCAUAAAAUCACCCCACUGAUUUUUGACUCUAACUGAAAGUAAUCUUGUUCCAGAAAUUCCAGGAACAAUUUGAGAUCAUUGUCCCAAGAAUAAAUGGCCUGAAAUAGAUAUUGGACACUCCCGAUGAAAGAUAAGUGGAAUGAAACCAACUCUGCCUUCUGCCUGAUCAGCCUUUGCCUGAAAUGCAAAUCUCCUCUGUGUUGGAUGUGGCUAGAAAUUACUGAUAAAUUAGCUACAAAGCAAGUUUUUCUUUCCUUGUUCUUUGGAAUUCACAGGAACACUCCCGUUUAUUUGGAGCCUUCAUUUUACAUG